GAUGAACGCUAGCUACAGGCUUAACACAUGCAAGUCGAGGGGAAACGACAUCGAAAGCUUGCUUUUGGUGGGCGUCGACCGGCGCACGGGUGAGUAACGCGUAUCCAACCUGCCCACCACUUGGGGAUAACCUUGCGAAAGUAAGACUAAUACCCAAUGAUAUCUCUAGAAGACAUCUGAAAGAGAUUAAAGAUUUAUCGGUGAUGGAUGGGGAUGCGUCUGAUUAGCUUGUUGGCGGGGUAACGGCCCACCAAGGCGACGAUCAGUAGGGGUUCUGAGAGGAAGGUCCCCCACAUUGGAACUGAGACACGGUCCAAACUCCUACGGGAGGCAGCAGUGAGGAAUAUUGGUCAAUGGGCGAGAGCCUGAACCAGCCAAGUAGCGUGCAGGAUGACGGCCCUAUGGGUUGUAAACUGCUUUUAUAAGGGAAUAAAGUGAGAGUCGUGACUCUUUUUGCAUGUACCUUAUGAAUAAGGACCGGCUAAUUCCGUGCCAGCAGCCG
rnacentral:rRNA from 1 species